CCCACAAACUUUGUACUCUUUUCUUUUAAUCAGUAUUUGUCUAUUUGUUCUAAAAAAAAAAAAGUUCCAAAACGCUGAAACACCAAUUCAUAUCACAAAAUUGCAAACCCUUUUAACACCAACUCUUAUCACAAAAUUGCAAACCCAUUAACACCAACUCUUAUCACAAAAUUGCAAACCCAUUCAAACGGACACACCAACACUUUACGAUGUGAAUCAUAGUGAGCUUGUUCGAGUUCGUCGAUUGAGGUCACUUACCAGUAGAUUUGAUAUUUAGCUCGGUUGAUUGUGUCUGCUUCUCUCCAGGUACUCCCUCUGUCAUAAUUUUUUUGUAUUUAUUUUGCAAUUCCCAACAGUUGAUUCAAAAUUGUAGUCCCAUAUUCCUUUGAUAUACACUGUAUGCCUGAGAUGCGUAAUACAAUUUUUGGGGUUUGUUUUUGGGGGUUUGUCCCAUUAUAAUUUUCGAAUUAAAUUUUUUAGUGUUCUCUUUGGUAUUUUUUCUUAAAAUUUAUUCUGGAUUGGUUUCUUCUUAUGCUGCACGGUAGUGUUGAAAUUUUGGAGAUUUAAGCUUAUGUGUUUGCUUUCUUCAGAGGGUUUAUACUUUAUGCUUAAGAUACGUAAUUGGUGGAAUUGUUUAUGGUAGUUGUUUCUAGCAUUAGUUAUUAUGGUAAUUAAUAAGCUUAACUAAGGGUUGGUGUGAUAAACAUAGACAGUAGAUGAAUGUUGUUGGCUUGAUUAGAUCAU